GAAAUGCGAUAAGUAAUGUGAAUUGAAGAAUUCAGUGAAUCAUCGAAUCUUUGAACGCACAUUGCGCCCGCCAGUAUUCUGGCGGGCAUGCCUGUUCGAGCGUCAUUACAACCCUCAGGCCCCCGGGCCUGGCGUUGGGGAUCGGCGGAAGCCCCCUGCGGGCACAACGCCGUCCCCCAAAUACAGUGGCGGUCCCGCCGCAGCUUCCAUUGCGUAGUAGCUAACACCUCGCAACUGGAGAGCGGCGCGGCCACGCCGUAAAACACCCAACUUCUGAAUGUUGACCUCGAAUCAGGUAGGAAUACCCGCUUAACUUAAGC
rnacentral:misc_RNA from 1 species